AACUGCAUCUCGAGAAUCAGCAAAACAGUCCAACUGGGGCAUUUCAAAAAAAAAAAAAAAAGAGAGAAAGAAAAAAGAAAGAGAAGGGUGCAAAAUCAAAAGAAAUCAAAUCAAAAAUCAAAAGAAAGAAAAAGGAAAGAAAGAAACAAAAGAAAAAUAGCACCCUCGAAGUCCCAAGUUGACUGAUGAUGAAUGGAUUCAGAGUCGCUACGACCAAGUGAAUCUGAUCAAA
rnacentral:lncRNA from 1 species